CAGUCGCCACGGGAAUACGUAGGGUGCAAGCGCUAAUCGGAAUUACUGGGCGUAAAGCGUGCGCAGGCGGUUAUAUAAGUCAGAUGUGAAAUCCCCGGGCUCAACCUGGGAACUGCAUUUGAGACUGUAUGGCUAGAGUGUGUCAGAGGGGGGUAGAAUUCCACGUGUAGCAGUGAAAUGCGUAGAUAUGUGGAGGAAUACCGAUGGCGAAGGCAGCCCCCUGGGAUAACACUGACGCUCAUGCACGAAAGCGUGGGGAGCAAACAGGAUUAGAUACCCCCGUAGUCCCUGUCUCUUAUAC
rnacentral:rRNA from 1 species